rnacentral:rRNA from 1 species
GACGAACGCUGGCGGCGUGCUUAACACAUGCAAGUCGAACGGAAAGGCCCUGCUUUUGUGGGGUGCUCGAGUGGCGAACGGGUGAGUAAUACGUGAGUAACCUGCCCUUGACUUUGGGAUAACUUCAGGAAACUGGGGCUAAUACCGGAUAGGAGCUCCUGCUGCAUGGUGGGGGUUGGAAAGUUUCGGCGGUUGGGGAUGGACUCGCGGCUUAUCAGCUUGUUGAUGGGGUAGUGGCUUACCAAGGCUUUGACGGGUAGCCGGCCUGAGAGGGUGACCGGGAAGAGGGUGAUAGGGGUAGAGGAGGGAGACGGGAGAGGGGCAGGAGGGGGAAAGGUAGAAGGACGGGGAGAAGGCUGGGGCAGGAGCGCGGGGGGUGGGAUGGUGGCGUGAGGGUAGUAAGCCGCUAGCGGUGGUGAGGGGGCGGGAGGGAGGGGAAGGGGGAAGGAAGCACCGGCUAAGUACGAGCUGGAAGCAGGGAAAAUAACGGGAAGAGCAAAUGUAUAAAC